AGAGUUUGAUCAUGGCUCAGAAUCAACGCUGGCGGCGUGCCUAACACAUGCAAGUCGAACGCGGUUAUUCAGCAAUGGAUAACUGAGUGGCGAACGGGUGAGUAACACGUGGGUGACCUACCUUCGAGUGGGGGAUAACGUCCCGAAAGGGACGCUAAUACCGCAUAACAUCCUGUCCUUGAACGGACGGAGAUCAAAGCCGGGGAUCGCAAGACCUGGCGCUUGAUGAGGGGCCCGCGUCCGAUUAGCUAGUUGGUGAGGUAAUGGCUCACCAAGGCAACGAUCGGUAGCCGGCCUGAGAGGGCGGACGGCCACACUGGGACUGAGACACGGCCCAGACUCCUACGGGAGGCAGCAGUGGGGAAUUGUUCGCAAUGGGCGCAAGCCUGACGACGCAACGCCGCGUGGAGGAUGAAGGUCUUCGGAUUGUAAACUCCUGUUGCCCGGGACGAAAAGCUCAGACCUAAUACGUCGGAGUCUGACGGUACCGGGUGAGGAAGCCCCGGCUAACUCUGUGCCAGCAGCCGCGGUAAUACAGAGGGGGCAAGCGUUGUUCGGAAUUACUGGGCGUAAAGGGCGCGUAGGCGGCCUGCUAAGUCGAACGUGAAAUCCCUGGGCUCAACCCAGGAACUGCGUCCGAUACUGGUUGGCUUGAAUUCGGGAGAGGGAUGUGGAAUUCCAGGUGUAGCGGUGAAAUGCGUAGAUAUCUGGAGGAACACCGGUGGCGAAGGCGGCAUCCUGGACCGAUAUUGACGCUGAUGCGCGAAAGCCAGGGGAGCAAACGGGAUUAGAUACCCCGGUAGUCCUGGCCCUAAACGAUGAAUGCUUGGUGUGGCGGGUAUCGAUCCCUGCCGUGCCGAAGCUAACGCAUUAAGCAUUCCGCCUGGGGAGUACGGUCGCAAGGCUGAAACUCAAAGAAUUGACGGGG
rnacentral:rRNA from 1 species